GACGAACGCUGGCGGCGUGCUUAACACAUGCAAGUCGAACGGAAAGGCCCUGCUUUUGUGGGGUGCUCGAGUGGCGAACGGGUGAGUAACACGUGAGUAACCUGCCCUUGACUUUGGGAUAACUUCAGGAAACUGGGGCUAAUACCGGAUAGGAGCUCCUGCUGCAUGGUGGGGGUUGGAAAGAUUCGGCGGUUGGGGAUGGACUCGCGGCUUAUCAGCUUGUUGGUGGGGUAGUGGCUUACCAAGGCUUUGACGGGUAGCCGGCCUGAGAGGGUGACCGGCCCCAUUGGGCCUGCGAUACGGCCCAGACUCCUACGGGAGGCAGCAGUGGGGAAUAUUGCACAAUGGGCGGAAGCCUGAUGCAGCAACGCCGCGUGCGGGAUGACGGCCUUCGGGUUGUAACCCGCUUUCGCCUGUGACGAAGCGUGAGUGACGGUAAUGGGUAAAGAAGCACCGGCUAACUACGUG
rnacentral:rRNA from 1 species